AUACAUGCUAAAAAUCCCGACUUCGGAAGGGAUGUAUUUAUUAGAUUAAAAACCAAUGCCCUCUGGGCUCUCUGGUGAUUCAUGAUAACUUCUCGAAUCGCAUGGCCUUGCGCCGGCGAUGGUUCAUUCAAAUUUCUUCCCUAUCAACUUUCGAUGUUUGGGUAUUGGCCAAACAUGGUUGCAACGGGUAACGGAGGGUUAGGGCUCGACCCCGGAGAAGGAGCCUGAGAAACGGCUACUACAUCCAAGGAAGGCAGCAGGCGCGCAAAUUACACAAUUCCGACACGGAGAUGUAGUGACAAUAAAUACUGAUACAGGGCUCUUUUGGGUCUUGUAAUCGGAAUGAGUACAAUUUAAAUCUCUUAACGAGGAACAAUUGGAGGGCAAGUCUGGUGCCAGCAGCCGCGGUAAUUCCAGCUCCAAUAGCGUAUAUUAAAAUUGCUGAGGUUAAAAAGCUCGUAGUUGAACCUUGGGCCUGGCUGGCCGGUCCGCCUCACCGCGUGCACUGGUCCGGCCGGGCCUUUCCCUCUGUGGAACCCCAUGCCCUUCACUGGGUGUGGCGGGGAAACAGGACUUUUACUUUGAAAAAAUUAGAGUGCUCCAGGCAGGCCUAUGCUCGAAUACUUCAGCAUGGAAUAAUAAAAUAGGACGUGCGGUUCUAUUUUGUUGGUUUCUAGGACCGCCGUAAUGAUUAAUAGGGACAGUCGGGGGCAUCAGUAUUCA
rnacentral:rRNA from 1 species